CCUUGAAAUACCACCCUUUAAUGUUUGAUGUUCUAACGUUGACCCGUGAUCCGGGUUGCGGACAGUGUCUGGUGGGUAGUUUGACUGGGGCGGUCUCCUCCUAAAGAGUAACGGAGGAGCACGAAGGUUGGCUAAUCCUGGUCGGACAUCAGGAGGUUAGUGCAAUGGCAUAAGCCAGCUUGACUGCGAGCGUGACGGCGCGAGCAGGUGCGAAAGCAGGUCAUAGUGAUCCGGUGGUUCUGAAUGGAAGGGCCAUCGCUCAACGGAUAAAAGGUACUCCGGGGAUAACAGGCUGAUACCGCCCAAGAGUUCAUAUCGACGGCGGUGUUUGGCACCUCGAUGUCGGCUCAUCACAUCCUGGGGCUGAAGUAGGUCCCAAGGGUAUGGCUGUUCGCCAUUUAAAGUGGUACGCGAGCUGGGUUUAGAACGUCGUGAGACAGUUCGGUCCCUAUCUGCCGUGGGCGCUGGAGAACUGAGGGGGGCUGCUCCUAGUACGAGAGGACCGGAGUGGACGCAUCACUGGUGUUCGGGUUGUCAUGCCAAUGGCACUGCCCGGUAGCUAAAUGCGGAAGAGAUAAGUGCUGAAAGCAUCUAAGCACGAAACUUGCCCCGAGAUGAGUUCUCCCUGACUCCUUGAGAGUCCUGAAGGAACGUUGAAGACGACGACGUUGAUAGGCCGGGUGUG
rnacentral:rRNA from 1 species